rnacentral:lncRNA from 1 species
AUGAAGUGCAAGGCCCUGUGCUGGGCACAAAAUGGCGGUCACUGCAUGGGAGCGAGGAGGAGGUACAGGGCCAUGGCAGCCCCUGAGCUUGGAGAUGGCUCAGCAGGUGAGGUUGAGCUUCUUCACUGGAGAACAAGCUUUAGGAGCAGAAAGAAUACAGAUACAUUCAGAGUGGUGAGUGUGACGGUUCAAAGCUACUGUCAAGUGUACUUACAGAUGAAAUGGUUUUGUCAAAAAUUGUGAAUAUAGAUUCUGCUGCUCCCACUUGCAAUAUGCUCAGCAGUGCUCUUACUAUUUUCAAGAGUUCAUCUCACAUUCAAUUAAUGGAAGAAUAUUCUCCUGUUUAUUCUAAUUAGGAUAUUUAUUCAUCAGGUGAGAAUUAAGGUAACAGCAAGAUACAGUACUUAUGAAAGGAUAAGGCUCAAACAUUUUAUUACUGUAGCAAAACCUCAUUUCUUGCAAGGAACUUCACAUAAAAAACAAUACUGCUAGUAAAUGAGCUUUUACAAAGGCCAGAAGUAAACCCCAAAUCAUAGCAGUCCUCUCCAGUCUAUAUUAUUCUGUAGGCCAUUCUUGUCUUGCCCCAUGCUUAAAGCAGGGUCAGCUACAGAGGUAAAUUAGGUUGCUUGGUGUUGCAUCUUGCUCAGUUUUGACUGUCUCCAAGAAUGGAAAUUUCAUAGCCUUUCUGAGUAACCUGUUCAAUAGGAGCUGCUGGCCUCCUAUUUACACCAUUGAAACUUUCAGCAGCCUGGAAGACAGGCUUAUCUUUUUCUCUCUGGGAAUUUCCUUCCAGUUUUAUCUACAGAAGAUAAUACAAAAAAUUCUUACACUCCAGUCAGGAUGCAGUGAAUACAUUGCUUGUAUUUCCAGCCUGUCCUGACUGAAAAAAAAUGCAGUUAGCCAGGGAGAUAGAUUUGGAAGCGGCAGCGUUAAGAGAGUCUAUGGUACCAUUAGCCGAAGGAAUAUGCAAAAUGCCAAAAACACGUCUUCUGCUGAGACAGCUGGUGACUUAAAAGUAGUUGCCAUUCUUUCCAUCAAUGCAGAAACACACGUGAAUGCUCAUUCUUAUGAAAUUGUCCCUCUGCCUGAUAAGGCUUCAGAUUCUAUGAGAAAUCCAAAAAGAAAGGCUUAGUGCAUCUCCUUGUCUAAGUAGGUUUUCAAAGACUUGUAGACCAUGCCAAAAGAAACUGGAAUGCUUUCCUUUCUGAAGCAGGUUGGGUUGUCCCUUGCAGAUGCAGAGAAA